CUACGUGCCAGCAGCCGCGGUAAUACGUAGGUGGCAAGCGUUGUCCGGAAUUAUUGGGCGUAAAGCGCGCGCAGGCGGAUCUGCCAGUCUGUCUUAAAAGUUCGGGGCUUAACCCCGUGAUGGGAUGGAAACUGCCAAUCUAGAGUAUCGGAGAAGAAAGUGGAAUUCCUAGUGUAGCGGUGAAAUGCGUAGAUAUUAGGAAGAACACCAGUGGCGAAGGCGACUUUCUGGACGAAAACUGACGCUGAGGCGCGAAAGCCAGGGGAGCGAACGGGAUUAGAUACCCCGGUAGUCCUGGCCGUAAACGAUGGGUACUAGGUGUAGGAGGUAUCGACCCCUUCUGUGCCGGAGUUAACGCAAUAAGUACCCCGCCUGGGGAGUACGACCGCAAGGUUGAAACUCAAAGGAAUUGACGGGGGCCCGCACAAGCGGUGGAGUAUGUGGUUUAAUUCGACGCAACGCGAAGAACCUUACCAGGUCUUGACA
rnacentral:rRNA from 1 species